rnacentral:tRNA from 1 species
GCACGCGUGGUGGAAUUGGCAGACACGCUAGACUUAGGAUCUAGUGCCGUAAGGCGUGGGGGUUCAAGUCCCUCCGCGUGCACCA